GCGGGAGCCCCCCCUCCCCCCAGUGCGCCUGUGCGGAGGCCCUCUUGAUUAUGUGUGCCCUCUCCGGGCGCCCGCGUUAGCGGCCGGGUGGAGGUGGGGAGGGAAGACGCUGAGGAGGAGGAGGAGGCGGAGGAGGCGGUGGAGGGGAGGUGGGGGGAAUCAGCAAGGACAUGGCUCCUGACUCCUGUGCGGAACAUGGUCUCUAGCGACCGGCCCGUGUCACUGGAGGACGAGGUCUCCCAUAGUAUGAAGGAGAUGAUUGGAGGCUGUUGCGUUUGCUCAGACGAGAGAGGCUGGGCCGAGAACCCGCUGGUUUAUUGCGACGGGCACGGCUGCAGCGUCGCGGUGCAUCAAGCUUGCUAUGGCAUUGUUCAAGUACCCACUGGACCGUGGUUUUGCAGGAAAUGUGAAUCUCAGGAGAGAGCAGCCAGAGUGAGAUGUGAACUUUGUCCCCAUAAGGAUGGAGCUUUAAAAAGAACAGAUAAUGGGGGUUGGGCCCAUGUGGUUUGUGCCCUGUAUAUUCCAGAGGUACAAUUUGCCAAUGUUUCCACAAUGGAACCAAUUGUUUUACAGUCUGUUCCGCAUGAUCGUUAUAAUAAGACUUGCUACAUUUGUGAUGAACAAGGAAGAGAAAGCAAAGCAGCCACUGGUGCUUGCAUGACAUGUAAUAAACAUGGAUGUCGACAGGCUUUCCAUGUAACAUGCGCUCAGUUUGCCGGACUGCUUUGUGAAGAAGAAGGUAAUGGUGCCGAUAAUGUCCAAUACUGUGGCUACUGUAAAUACCAUUUUAGUAAGCUGAAAAAGAGCAAACGGGGAUCUAAUAGGUCAUAUGAUCAAAGUUUAAGUGAUUCUUCCUCUCACUCUCAGGAUAAACAUCAUG
rnacentral:lncRNA from 1 species